rnacentral:rRNA from 1 species
UCCAGACUCCUACGGGAGGCAGCAGUGAGGAAUAUUGGUCAAUGGCCGGAAGGCUGAACCAGCCAAGCCGCGCGAAGGACGAAGGUGCCAAGCAUUGUAAACUUCUUUUGUCAAGGGACAAAAUCAGGCUCGAGAGCCUGACCGAGGGUACUUGAAGAAAAAGCAUCGGCUAACUCCGUGCCAGCAGCCGCGGUAAUACGGAGGAUGCGAGCGUUAUCCGGAUUUACUGGGUGUAAAGGGGGCGCAGACGGCAAUGCAAGCCAGGAGUGAAAGCCCGGGGCCCAACCCCGGGACUGCUCUUGGAACUGCAUGGCUGGAGUACAGGAGGGGCAGGCGGAAUUCCUAGUGUAGCGGUGAAAUGCGUAGAUAUUAGGAGGAACACCGGUGGCGAAGGCGGCCUGCUGGACUGUGACUGACGUUGAGGCCCGAAGGCGUGGGGAGCAAACAGGAUUAGAUACCCCCGUAC